rnacentral:misc_RNA from 1 species
GGAAACUACUGGCCUUGGAGAAUGUAAACAUGGUUUGAAGCUCUAGGGAAGAUGAUGACUUGUGAGUUGGUUACGUACAGUUGCCGUUACAAUGCUAGGCCAUCACAGCCUCCACCGUCCUACUGAAAGAGAGAUAAAAGUUUAUUGUGAAUUAGAUGAAUAAACUCUCUCUCAAUCUAUUGAUCGAUGAAGAUUUGAGUUGUAUGUAUUGUUUUGAUUGAAUGAAGUUUUGGGUUGCUUGUGUCAUUUGGAUUUGGUAAAUUUUGAGUUGUUUGGGUCAGAACAUAAUUGGAGAAAUUUAUUGUUUUUGUCCUAUUUGCAGAUUAAGGCGAGAAUGAGAUAGUUUGCGUAGUUUGCACACAAAAAAGAGAAAGGAGAGAAUGCAGGGAGAGAAUUUGAA